GCCAAUAAUAGCCCCUCCAACCAAACUAACUAAUUAUUUUAUUCAAUUAAACAGAAACAUUUGAUUCAUCUUAGUAUAGGAGAUAGAAAAGAUAGGUGGGAGCAAUAAUGAAAGUACCGCAAGGGAAAUAUGAAAGACCAAUUCUAAAGCACCUAAAAAGCAAAGACAAACCCUUGUACCUUUUGCAUAAUGAUUCAGUCAGUUCAACCGGACAAAAAGAAUUAAGCCCGCCUUCCCGAAAUCAAGUGAGCUACUGUAGAACAGUCACAAGGACCAACUCAUCUAUGUAGCAAAAUAGUGAGAAGAUUUUACAGUAGAGGUGAAAAGCCUAACGAACUUGAAGAUAGCUGGUUAUCCAAAACAUGAAUUUUAGUUCAACUUUAAAUCUGAUUUAAGCACUAACAAGACCAACUUAAAUUUAAAAGCUAAUCAAAAGGGGUACAUCCCUUAUGAUUACGUAGACAAACUUCCCUAGAGGAUACUGUUUUACCCAAAUUCAUUGUAGGCCUAAAAGCAGCCACCAAUUAAGAAAGCGUUAAAGCUCAAACCCCAUUAAAACCUUAAUACCAAUAAUUACUACACAGUCCCUAAACCUAUAUUGGAUGACUCUAUAAACCUAUAGAAGACAUUCUGCUAAAAUUAGUAACAAGAAUUAUUUCUCCUUGCAUAAGCCUACAUUAGCACGGAACAUCCGCUAACAAUUAACAAAACCAUAUUUAAACCCAAAUCACAGGCAAAUUAAAUCAACCAAUUGUUAAUCCAACACAGGCAUGCAUUCAAGGAAAGAUUAAAAAGUAUGAAAGGAACCUCGGCAAACACUAACCCCGCCUGUUUACCAAAAACAUCACCUCUAGAAUAUUAAAUAUUAGAGGCAACGCCUGCCCAGUGAGUCAAUCUUCAACGGCCGCGGUAUCCUGACCGUGCAAAGGUAGCAUAAUCACUUGUCCCUUAAAUAGAGACUUGUAUGAAUGGCAUCACGAGGGUUAAGCUGUCUCUCAUACCCAAUCAGUGAAAUUGACCUCCUCGUGCAGAGGCGAGGAUACCAAUACAAGACGAGAAGACCCUGUGGAGCUUAAGCUUAAUAGCCCACUAAUACCAAAAAACUACCUAAGGGAACAAAAACACAUUACACUAGGCUAUAAACUUCGGUUGGGGUGACCUCGGAGCACAAAAAAUCCUCCGAAUGAAAUAACCCAGAUUUACAAAUCUAAGUGUACAAAACCAGUAAUUGACCCAUAUCAUGAUCAACGGACCAAGUUACCCCAGGGAUAACAGCGCAAUCCUAUUAAAGAGCCCAUAUCGACAAUUAGGGUUUACGACCUCGAUGUUGGAUCAGGACAUCCAAAUGGUGUAACCGCUAUUAAUGGUUCGUUUGUUCAACGAUUAAAGUCCUACGUGAUCUGAGUUCAGACCGGAGAAAUCCAGGUCGGUUUCUAUCUGUACAUAAUUUCUCCCAGUACGAAAGGACAAGAGAAAUAAGGCCUACACUACUAGUGAGCCUUAGUAUAAGAUAUGACAUUAUCUAAAUAUCUUAACACUAUACCUCACCACUCUAGAAAAGAG
rnacentral:rRNA from 1 species